GGACAGAUGGUCUCCCUCAUGGUGGCUGAAAUAAAAGAGGGAAUUAGAGGACUCCAAGGUGUACACUCUGACGGCAAUUACAGCAAAUAGAUUGAAAGUGGACCUCCAGGCACCCAGGGAGGCGGCUCAGUGGGGGGGAGCGCCACCUCACUGCAUCUGGUGCAGCAGGGCAGUAACAGGGAAGCAGGGUAAACCCAAGGACUGAUGCAGGAACCUUUUUUCUUGUGAAACACCAGCACUAACCACGGUUCCACCAUGAGGUACGGCCCCCUCUCUUUGUCUGUGUCUGUGUGUGCGCUAAGAAAUUCAGUCGACCUUCAUCUUGCCUUACUCAGCCCACGUUCAGAUAAAGGGAUCAGAUCAAACUAAUGUCUUCACCCCUCAGUGUCUCUGAACGGCCACUGAAUAAAAUUGCAGCUGCUGUGAAACGACUGUGACAUAACUUGAUCCACGCAGUGACAGCGCACACCACCGCUUGCUCCCUGUAAUAUAUCAGUGCCAGGAAACAGUGGAUGUGGAGACGCGCUGAUUCAAUCAGGGGCCACAGAGGCUCUGGGGAGAGUUCAUCUAUACCAAACCAGCAGCAAACGCUCAAGAAUCCCUUUAACUGUAUUGGCUGUAACAACGUUUAAGGACUUUGAGGUUAUUCAUUCAACUUCUUCCCGACUAAGUACACAACAGAGGAAAUGCAAAAAGCGUCUGAUGUUGUCAAAUGUUGCAUGGAGCACAAACCAAACCGCAGAAAUGUUGCCGUUAACGGACCCUUCGCACGGCAGCCAUUUUGACAGGUCACCGUAGGAUAACGACAGGUGUAAACAAUCAAAUGUGCGAUGGCUGCAUCCCAUUUAGUUUCCUAAAAAAUCGUGAAUGUGGUCAGUAACACCUGUGCGCUUCCUGUUCGAAACAUGUCAAAAUGGCUGCCGCGAGAGAGGCUCCCAUUUGAAGCACUUUAGCUGUCGCACAAUUAGUGAACACACAUAACUGCCAAUUAGGUCAUUUCUCAGUGGCUUCCGUGCGUCGUACAUUUGUGCGCAUAAAUUUAAGUGGUGUGCAUAAUUUUAAAUGAAGCACAUAAAAGUUGUUUUGAUUAUCACAGACACAUGGCUUCAAGCAGUGCAGACAUUACCUUACCGGUUUUAAAAUCCAAAUUUGAUUUACAAAUAAGGAGUGUACAAUUUAUUUUGUGUGAGCAUAAACAAUAAAGUGUUUACGGCCAUCGCGCCAUGGUUGUUUUUUGUUUUUUUGUUUUUUUUGCUUGAUGUCUUUAUGAGUCACCAACUGUUACUCAUCUCAAUAUACAGAGACAUAUUGUUCUCCGCAGAUAAAUGACCAAUAACUUUGACAAAUGACAGUAAGAUUGCUUUGAAGAGAGAUAAUAGAAAUCAGAUUUUCAGAUUU